rnacentral:rRNA from 1 species
GAUGAACGCUGACAGAAUGCUUAACGCAUGCAAGUCUACUUGAACUUCGGUUUGGGUGGCGGACGGGUGAGUAACGCGUAAAGAACUUGCCUCACAGUUAGGGACAACAUUUGGAAACGAAUGCUAAUACCUGAUAUUAUGAUUUUAGGGCAUCCUAGGAUUAUGAAAGCUAUAUGUGCUGUGAGAGAGCUUUGCGUCCCAUUAGCUAGUUGGAGAGGUAACGGCUCACCAAGGCGAUGAUGGGUAGCCGGCCUGAGAGGGUGAACGGCCACAAGGGGACUGAGACACGGCCCUUACUCCUACGGGAGGCAGCAGUGGGGAAUAUUGGACAAUGGACCAAAAGUCUGAUCCAGCAAUUCUGUGUGCACGAUGACGUUUUUCGGAAUGUAAAGUGCUUUCAGUUGGGAAGAAAAAAAUGACGGUACCAACAGAAGAAGUGACGGCUAAAUACGUG